AACCACUGAAACAAUUUAUCAAAUUCUCCAUCACCAACAAUUAUUAAAUCAAGAUUGGAUGUUUUUCUAAAAGAUCUGCUCUAAGAAUUAUUUUGGGGAUGUUCUAUGGCCUGUGUUUUAUAGGGUGUCAGACUAGAUGAUAACAAUAGUCCCUUCCGGCCUUAGAAUCUGUGAAACAUUUGGGACCUCAGCAAUAGAGUUCUUUGGCUCUUCUAUCUCAUAGAGCCUGAAAUCAAUUUGUUAAUGUGUUUGGCCUCCUCAGAUCUGUACCACGCCUCCCUGAUCACAUCCUCAAAGGAGGCAUGCAGUGGAAUUGUGGAUUCAAGGGAGGAUUGUAAGCAGUGAAAUUUACUCUGAAGUUUGCCCUCUUGAAUCUGUUCAAGUUGGAUCUGUAUUGGGGACACCACCUUUUUGAACAGGGUCUCAAACUUCUUGGGGGGGGGGAUUUUUUGUUAUGUUUUCCCCUGGUCCUGCUUCAGUUCAGGGUCAAAAAGCUCCCCUUCCUCAGUAGAAGAGGGGAGGAGAGGAAGUCAGAGGAUGAGUACCUUGUAGAUUUUCUGCUUUUUCAUCCCCUUCUUGCUCAUUUUGAAUCUUCUUAGCCAGUUUGUGGGCAUAGGUGCCUUGGUGUGGCCUUUUGUGGGGGUGGGCGAUGGGGUCUUGCUGGCAGAGCCCUCCGACUCAAAUUGGGAAUAAAGAAGCCUGCUUCAUUCCCCAAAGCACUUAAGAUCCACCUUAAGACUUGGGAUGGGGGGAACCUGCAAGCCUCUUGCCCUUGCAAUCCAGGGUUACCCUGGCACUUACCCCCUGGGCUGGCUGAAUGAGGUCUUCCUUGUCCUUAGAGCCUCUCCUGGCUCUGCACUGGGUCUCCUGGUUGGGUUUUCCCUCUUUGGAGUCAUAGCUACUUGGAUGGGCAGCGGACCACAGAAGCCUGACUGACUCACAGCCCCCGGCCUAACGGAGUUAGGGUUGGCUAGCUGGGAGCUGGCUUGGCAUAACUCACCGUCUGCCAAGCCUGGGAAGGCUGGUUCACAGAUAGAGCACAUUUGGACUUUGCCCAGGGCUUUCACAGCUGCUCUGCCAUGUUUGAAAAGGGGCAAAGGAGUUAGCAGGGAGGCACCUGGAGAGACUCCAGGUGGUUACAACUACCACACUGCUCAGAUGGCUCCGGGGAGCAAGAAAGGAGGCUAAAAGAAAGGAAGCUGCUUGUCACUGCCCAAGAAUGUGAGGAAACUAAAAUGCAACUAAAAAGGAUGGGAGCUAGAUGAACUGCUAACUGACCACUGUUACAGAGGCAAAACAUCUGGUAGCAGUAGAAGCAGGGGGUGUGGCCAGCACAUGUGGUGCUGCAACUUUGAACUGCCUUUGGGAGCUGCAGAAUGGAGAGGAGCAGCCCAGACAUAGCAGAAUUGGGGGAGAUGCUGGGCUGCAGAAAUAUGCAUACUGUUGUUUAUAAAAUGCUUCUAAAUCCUUUAGAUAAAAAAGUAUUAUAGAAAUAUAAGAUAUUAUUUAUUUGCUACUAUAUAGUUUAAGUUAUCUAUUCCACUAACUAUCAAGAUGUGUUUAAAAUCAGUCCUUAAACAGAGUAGGAACUGUUCUGUUGUAUUUUGUACCUUUGUUAUAAGUGAAAAAAUACCCAGAAAUUGUCUUGGGUGUUUGCAUUUUUCAUAUCAUAUUUUCACUUCUCCAAAUGUUACCAGUUCUAGUUUCCUGAUUUAGAAGCCAUUUCUGUGAAUGAACAGAGCUGUUGAAUGUAUCCAUGAAUAUGAAUUAAAAAUGUUUGGAAAAUUAGAAGUUAUACAUAUCAGUUUCCUACAGAGUGAACUAACAAGACACUAUGAAAGCUUGAAUUGUUGCUGGAAAAAUGUUUGUUCUAACUUUUUAAAAUUUCUCCUUUUGGUCUCACUCUCGAUGCUCCAGCAUUCACCACUUCCUGUAUGGCUCAUUACCGCAGGGAAAAUGAGGGACUUUUGGGGGCAGAUGUGUUUCCAUUACACUAUCAUAAUGCCCCUAAAAAUCCUUAUUACUCUUGCAGUAUUCUUCUGUGUUGCUGGGCCUGGUGUGAACUACUUGAAGAUCUAGUUUAUAAGUGCACCUAUAUUGCAAAAUCACUUCAAAAACCAAUUGAAUUUGUUUAUUUUAUUUUUAGUUGUGUUUACUGAUGCUUAAAAUAUAAAUAGCAAGAUGUUCAACUUCCUGUUGAUAAACAAAUGUAAUAAGUCAUAAAUCCAAGGGACAUGCUGAUACCUAGGUGGUACUUAGGGAAAAUAAAUAAAUUUCACCAUAAGAAUGAGGUUUAAAAACAAGCUUUACUUGUUUGGCAAGGCUAAUUUCAACUUUGUUUAAUAUGAGAACUCACAUUGUAUGACUAGGAUCAUUAACUCUAUGACACAGAUAUUUCUCAGUAAUUUAGUAAGCUCACUCUUGAAUUACUUUGCUAUAUUUGAUCCCACUCACAAAGAGCUUUAAUCUGUUGCUGAUAAGAGUACAUUUGAAGCAGUUAUCCAACAAACAAACCUUCCCAGUGUGGUUCCUCUAUUAAACCCAUCAAAAUCUACUGUGAAAUUAAAAUCAAGGGCCGCACACAGUCCCAAAAUCAGCAAAAAAUUAUUGGUUUCACUCUGAUAUUACAUCCUGGCUCAUCACCUAUUCCAUGUAAGGGGACUCUGUGUUGGCAGAACUUCCACUAAUCAUGUAGUAGGGUGCUACCUCCAUGAUAUUGUCUUCUUCCCCUCUGAUAGAUCACAGAAGUUGUGGCGGCUCUGUUGGUUCUACCCUUGCUGGGUUUUGGCUGAGGAAAGAUGAUAUCUUUGUGUUGCUAUUACCACCUCAUCCUACAGAUUUUUACUAGGCAGCACUGAGGGAUUUCUGCUGGAGUGUGCUUCUGGAGAAGGGGGUAUAGCAGAGCCACUUGGAAGUGCAGUUAUCCAUGCUGGAUGGACCUUGCAUCUGCCCAUCUGUGUGAAUCCUCUGGAUCUGCAGAGUUGGGAGGUCUUAUCACUAACUCAGUCUACAGCAGUGGAGGGCAACCUUCAGCCCGUACAUGCGCAGUCAGGAUAAUCCGCUGGGAGGCCGCGAGGCUGUUUACAUCGAUGGUCCACAGGCAUGGCUGCCCACAGCUCCCAGUGGUUGUGGUUCGCUGUUCUGUGACCACCACUACUCCAGUGGCACAGAAUUCUGCUGCAGUGCCCAUUAGAGUACCAGUAAAUGGUCAAUAGUAAAUGUACUCUUUAAUUCAGGCAUCAGAUUAGAAGGAAUAAUAUCCCUUUCAUCUGAGGAUGUCAAAGAGCUUUACAAAAUAUUAAUUAAAUCUCAUAACAUCCCUAUGAUCUAAGGAAAAGAGCUGGUUCGAAAGCAGAAAAUCUGCUCUAAAAUGUCACCUCAAAGUAAAUUUUCUGUCAAGGUGUAGUAGUGAAGUGUUAUUAUGCCCAUUUUACAGAUAAGGAAAGGGACAUCAAAAGGUGAAGCCACUUCCUAAAAUUCACACAGAAACCCAGUGGUGAAAACUACAGCGCAGCACUCCUGACUCCCAGGCCUGUACUGCAACUACAACACCAUUAUUUCCCUACUCUCAGCCACAGGGAUUGGAUAACUGGCAUGACACAGUCCCAUAGGUCAUAUGAGAGUGCUAUGAGACAUGUGGUAUGAACUACAAACAUAUGACUAGGGAUUGGCCUGAGUUUAAAGCUGUAAGGAUUAUUUACAGGUUGUUAGAUCUUUAAUUAGCUUGUUAAUGUUAUUGAAAAGUUUCAGUCAUUUUGGAGUGUACUCCAUAAACCUGCUAAUGCUGACUAGAACUCUUGACUAAAGACUCAACAUCAAACUGAGAAUAUUCUUAAAGCUAUGUGAAUUCACACACUGUUGGAGAACACUACAUUAUUAAAGAAAAGUAAGGAGAGUCUUCUUAGAGCCAUAUUGCAGGAUUGUCUGGCUGUACCUUUCUCAGUGUUUUUGAAUGUGUGGCUUUCUACUUUAAUCUCUGCCCUAAUGCUAUGCCUCAAGAUAUCUUCUCUCCUUGGAAUAUUUGCCUCAGGGGCUUUAAGAAAUCUGCAUUUUACCCUAAAAUCAUCUAUCUAAUUGCUGACUCACAGAACUAUGU